rfam:Plasmodiophora brassicae isolate e3 genome assembly, contig: scaffold_3
GGCCGCUUAGUUUAGUGGCAUAAUUCUCGGUUUGGGUCCGAGAGGUCCCGCGUUCGAUUCGCGGAGCGGCCC